rnacentral:rRNA from 1 species
AUGAACGCUGGCGGCGUGCCUAAUACAUGCAAGUCGAGCGAACGGACGAGAAGCUUGCUUCUCUGAUGUUAGCGGCGGACGGGUGAGUAACACGUGGAUAACCUACCUAUAAGCCUGGGAUAACUUCGGGAAACCGGAGCUAAUACCGGAUAAUAUUUUGCACCGCAUGGUUCAAAAGUGAAAGACGGUCUUGCUGUCACUUAUAGCUGGAUCCGCGCUGCCUUAGCUAGCUGGUAAGGUACCGGCUUACCAAGGCAACGCUGCACAGCCGACCUGAGGGGGUGAUCGGCCACACGGGAACUGAGACACGGUCCAGACUCCUACGGGAGGCAGCAGUAGGGAAUCGUCCGCAAUGGGCGAAAGCCUGACGGAGCAACGCCGCGUGAGUGAUGAAGGUCUUCGGAUCGUAAAACUCUGUUAUUAGGGAAGAACAUAUGUGUAAGUAACUGUGCACAUCUUGACGGUACCUAAUCAGAAAGCCACGGCUAACUACGUG